CUUUGAUCUUGGUAUCUGUAAAAAAGAGGUCAUUUAGUCUCCCCAGGAAGCACAGACAUUUAGAAGGUCCCCGUACAACUCAUGCAAGUAUUUUAUUAACAACAAUUUCUGUUCACAUUUAGGGGUCUGUGUCCCUGGCAAAGGAAUAUGGACAAAUGGAUGACCAGACCUGCACCCUGAAAAUAAUCUGCUCAUGGAGACUGUCCUGGAAUAUGGGACUGGACCAGCUCUGUGAUGGUCAUGAUGAAUGGACAAACAGAUUUCCCACAAGCUCAAUUGAGGAAAGAUUUGAAGGCUCAGAAAGAAGAGGCCACCACUGAAGUUUGCAGUGUCUCCUCCAGCUCAAAUAAAAUGAAGGGAAAAAAAAAAGGGUUAUAUUUGCUUAUAACAUAAAAGAUCUGUCUUUGGUGGUUUGGCUGGGAACUGAAUUAACACUUUAAAAUUUUGCUAAUGGCAUGGCAGACCUGGAUGUGUCUACAAAAGUGACAGAAACAACCAGUGGCAGGCAGAAAACACCACAAAGAAGACAUAUAAAAUAAAACCACCAAAAAGGGGUGGAAUUAGGAAUUACUCAAGAAAGAAUGUGGCUUUGUGAACAAAGACAGUGACUCCUACAUCAUUGCUGCAGGUCUCUGCAAACAUUCUCCACAAGGAAACAUGAUUGCAUUGAAGAAAUGCAGGUCACCAAUCUCUCCUUCCAGUGAAAACAAUCUAGCACACCAGAAGUAUUGGCUAUGAGGCAGGCAAAUAUCACCAGAGGAAUCAAGUUUCCCAGAAGAGAAAAGAUAAGCUGAUAUCUGCAAUCAAACUGGAACAAACAAUGGAGGUACUCACACAGCUCAACAAUGGCCAGAAAAUAAUUAAAACAAGAUCUAAACAAUUGCUGGAGCCCUCUAUAAAGAAUCUGAGUCAAAAUUCCAUAGUUUCCCAGAAAAGGCAGAAAUAUGACCAUGUCUUUGGGGGCAGAAUGAGUGUGUCUGAGCAGAUUGAAAAACUGCUAACAUAAAUACAAUUUUAUCUGCACAUGAAAAAAAAAAAAUCCUGCAGAAAACUGCACUAAGAUGAAAUAAUAAUUAAUGUGAAAUUGUAUCCUUUUUUUAACUACAGCCAGUAUUAGAAGUUUAGGACAGAAGAGUGAAAAAAAAAGCCCUGUAAGAUGAUUCUUUCACCUCUGCUGCCAUACAUUCUGGUACUCAGCUGUGGAGGGACUUUCAACUUGACAUAACACUGAGCAACAACAGAUGAUGUAUCACAAAACUUCUAAUUCCACACAUUUUCUGUAUUUAUAAUUGGGAGACCUUUUUUCACUGGAAUCUAUAAUGCACUUCAGCUGACCUUCCAGUGCUCACAGAACUGGAAAUAAACAACAAAAAAAUAAAAAAACCAGCUUUCUAAAUAAGUGAAAGAUGGACUCAUAUUAUCUAAAGGAAUUUCACUCAGAGGGUGCUGGUGGCUCUUCCUACUCCAGUGUGAAGAUCUUCUGUUUGUGAAGAUCAAAUGGGACAGAAGGCAUGUGUCAGCUCUGGGUCAGGCUUUUCUGGAGGCACACACACCUCAGCCAGCCUCACAUCCCAAAAGACUGGUUGGGGUUUAUGUCUGAACAGAAUCACCCUGAGCACUGUGAAAGCUGCUGCACACAGCGACUUUUUACCUGUAAAUUCAUCUGAGUCUGUUUGAGGUAAAAGAUAGGUAAGGAGUUACAGCUGGGUGGGGAACAUGAGAGAAGACCUUGACUAACAGGAUGGAUGUCCAAGGAGUCUUGUGCAAUCUCAGUUUACACAGGCUUGGAUUCAGACUAAGAUACAAAACACUGACAUAGGGAUGCUUGCCCGAACUCAAACAUCUCUCUUAAAUCAGGAAAAAGGCCCAGGAUAGCUCAGGACAUGGAAUAAGUUGCUGUGGUGCUCCUGCUUUCCAGUCAACAGUCCCUCAGUGGGAGGAGAAAGCAGAGAGGCUGGAAGAUGGUAUCCAUGAGCCCUGAUGCUCCAUCCCUGGAAUGUCUGCAGCAAAGGGAUCAAACUUGGCUCACAGCUCUUCUGAGCUAACAGGGAAACAAUGAAACUCCAUUCUGCUCAGUUCUGGCGGUUUUUUUUCUUUUUCGUUUCUUAAGUGAGAGAGAGAAGGAGAGGAGAGAAGAGAAGAGAAAAACUGGCAAGUGCAGCAAAUUUUAGAGAAUGGACCAGAUAAAAGUUAUUGUUGUAAAAUUUCUUUGUUUCAUGGCCAAGACCAUUAUCUAUCUCUGGCUGGCCAGACGAAGCAUCAUGUGUCUUCAGCAGAAGCUUCUCUUCUACCCAGGGAGCUGGACAGAGGAAAACAAAAUUUCAGGAAGGAGCUGGCUUGAAAGGGCAUCAGAGUUCAACUCAGCCUGAAGGACAGACAGUCCCUCUAAGGGACUCCUGUUCAUGUUUAGGAGCAUGGGACACCCUGUCUGUUGUAUUGUGUUGGUCUUAAAAAUAGAAAAUGCCCCAAACA